AUCCUGCUGACGAGUCCCAAAUAGGACGAAAUGCGCGUCCUGUAU
rnacentral:hammerhead_ribozyme from 1 species